GACGAACGCUGGCGGCGUGCCUAAUACAUGCAAGUUGAGCGCUGAAGGUUGGUACUUGUACCGACUGGAUGAGCAGCGGACGGGUGAGUAACGCGUGGGUAAUCUGCCUUUGAGCGGGGGACAACAUCUGGAAACGAAUGCUAAUACCGCAUAAUAACUUUAAACACAAGUUUUAAGUUUGAAAGAUGCAAUUGCAUCACUCAAAGAUGAUCUCGCGUUGUAUUAGCUAGUUGGUGAGGUAAAGGCUCACCAAGGCGAUGAUACAUAGCCGACCUGAGAGGGGGAUCGGCCACAUUGGGACUGAGACACGGCCCAAACUCCUACGGGAGGCAGCAGGAGGGAAUCUUCGGCAAUGGACGAAAGGCUGACCGAGCAACGCCGCGUGAGUGAAGAAGGGUGUCGGAUCGUAAAAAUCUGUUGGUAGGGAAGAACGUUGGGGGGAGUGGAAAGCUCAUCAAGUGACGGUAACUACCCAGAAAGGGACGGCUAACUACGUG
rnacentral:rRNA from 1 species